rnacentral:tRNA from 1 species
UAGCUCAGUUGGUUGAGCACAAGGUUCUUAACCUUGUGGUCAUUGGUUCGAGCCCCAU